rnacentral:rRNA from 1 species
GAUGGGAGCUUGCUCCCUGAUGUUAGCGGCGGACGGGUGAGUAACACGUGGGUAACCUGCCUGUAAGACUGGGAUAACUCCGGGAAACCGGGGCUAAUACCGGAUGGUUGUUUGAACCGCAUGGUUCAGACAUAAAAGGUGGCUUCGGCUACCACUUACAGAUGGACCCGCGGCGCAUUAGCUAGUUGGUGAGGUAACGGCUCACCAAGGCGACGAUGCGUAGCCGACCUGAGAGGGUGAUCGGCCACACUGGGACUGAGACACGGCCCAGACUCCUACGGGAGGCAGCAGUAGGGAAUCUUCCGCAAUGGACGAAAGUCUGACGGAGCAACGCCGCGUGAGUGAUGAAGGUUUUCGGAUCGUAAAGCUCUGUUGUUAGGGAAGAACAAGUGCCGUUCAAAUAGGGCGGCACCUUGACGGUACCUAACCAGAAAGCCACGGCUAACUACGUGCCAGCAGCCGCGGUAAUACGUAGGUGGCAAGCGUUGUCCGGAAUUAUUGGGCGUAAAGGGCUCGCAGGCGGUUUCUUAAGUCUGAUGUGAAAGCCCCCGGCUCAACCGGGGAGGGUCAUUGGAAACUGGGGAACUUGAGUGCAGAAGAGGAGAGUGGAAUUCCACGUGUAGCGGUGAAAUGCGUAGAGAUGUGGAGGAACACCAGUGGCGAAGGCGACUCUCUGGUCUGUAACUGACGCUGAGGAGCGAAAGCGUGGGGAGCGAACAGGAUUAGAUACCCUGGUAGUCCACGCCGUAAACGAUGAGUGCUAAGUGUUAGGGGGUUUCCGCCCCUUAGUGCUGCAGCUAACGCAUUAAGCACUCCGCCUGGGGAGUACGGUCGCAAGACUGAAACUCAAAGGAAUUGACGGGGGCCCGCACAAGCGGGGGAACAU